UACGGGGGGAGCAAGCGUUGUUCGGAUUUACUGGGCGUAAAGGGCGCGUAGGCGGCCAGCACAAGUCAGUUGUGAAAUCUCCGAGCUUAACUCGGAAAGGUCAACUGAUACUGUGCGGCUAGAGUGCGGAAGGGGCAACUGGGAUUCUUGGUGUAGCGGUGAAAUGCGUAGAUAUCAAGAGGAACACCUGCGGCGAAGGCGGGUUGCUGGGCCGACACUGACGCUGAGGCGCGAAAGCCAGGGGAGCGAACGGG
rnacentral:rRNA from 1 species